rnacentral:tRNA from 1 species
GGGGCUGUAGCUCAGCUGGGAGAGCGCCUGACUGGCAGUCAGGAGGUCAGGGGUUCAAGUCCCCUUAGCUCCACCA